rnacentral:rRNA from 1 species
GGAUUCCCCUAGUAACUGCGAGUGAAGCGGGAAAAGCUCAAAUUUAAAAUCUGGCGGUCUUUGGCCCGUCCGAGUUGUAGUCUGGAGAAGUGUUUUCCGGGCUGGACCGUGUACAAGUCUCUUGGAACAGAGCGUCAUAGAGGGUGAGAAUCCCGUCUUUGACACGGACUACCAGUGCUUUGUGAUGCGCUCUCAAAGAGUCGAGUUGUUUGGGAAUGCAGCUCAAAAUGGGUGGUAAAUUCCAUCUAAAGCUAAAUAUUGGCGAGAGACCGAUAGCGAACAAGUACCCGUGAGGGAAAGAUGAAAAGCACUUUGGAAAGAGAGUUAAACAGUACGUGAAAUUGCUGAAAGGGAAACGCUUGAAGUCAGUCGCGUUGAUCAGAACUCAGCCUUGCUUUUGCUUGGUGCAUUUUCUGGUUGACGGGCCAGCAUCGAUUUUGACCAUCGGAGAAAAGCCCAGGGAAUGUGGCACCUUCGGGUGUGUAAUAGCCUUUGGUCACAUACGGUGUUUGGGAUCGAGGACCGCAGCACGCCUUAUGGCCGGGUUCGCCCACGUUUCGUGCUUAGGAUGCUGGCGUAAUGGCUUUAAACGGACCCGUUCUUGAAACACGGGACCAAGGAUUCUAACAUGCCUGCGAGUGUUUGGGUGGAAAACCCGAGCGCGUAAUGAAAGUGAAAGUUGAGAUCCCUGUCGUGGGGAGCAUCGACGCCCGGACCUGAACUUCGGUGAUGGCUCUGCGGUAGAGCAUGUAUGUUGGGACCCGAAAGAUGGUGAACUAUGCCUGAAUAGGGUGAAGCCAGAGGAAACUCUGGUGGAGGCUCGUAGCGAUUCUGACGUGCAAAUCGAUCGUCAAAUUUGGGUAUAGGGGCGAAAG